UGGUAAAAGAUCAACAUGGCGGUCUGAUCCGGAGGGAGAAUAAAGGGAAAGAGGAUGCCACCGAUCAGAAAAAGACAUAAUUCACACCCUCAGAAGCAGGAUACUAGCCUAUUUGAAAAUCUCCUACUCUGCACUGCACGCACAGGAGGGAUGCUGCUCUGCUAUAUCUCUAUAGCACAACUACAGAAGCAGCAGCAUGGAGGACAUUAUAGAGCAACACUGAGCAAUAUAAGCUGUGGAUGAAAGACUUGGAGUGAGGUCUAUCUGUAUACUGCACUGAAUCAGUUCGGCUGAAAACAAAUGCCUGCCACAUCAGCUAAAACAGGCCUUCCCAUCUCUACACAGUACAGGGAUAAUGUAGACGUUACAUAGCGCAAAUAUUUUUUUUCUCCCCUUCCGUCCAGCCCCAGGCAGACUUCACGAUCAGAGAUACAGUUCUUCCGUAUUAUACUUUGGCUCUGUUGGAUUCUCGAAAUUUAUUGCACCAAAAAUAGGAAUAAUGAAUAUAAUGAGUUCAUUACCUUGUCGUCUUCUCUGAUUCACUAAUAACCUUUUAGAGAAAAAAA